AGACCCUGUGUCUUCAUUUUUCGUAACAAGAACCUCCGUCUCGACCGUAUAUUAUAUAUACGUAACAAGAAAAAAAAAAAAAAAAAAAAAAGGAAAAAAAGGAAAAAAAAGGAAAAAAAAAAGGAAAAAAAAAAAGAAUCCUGCGUAAUCGUUUCCUUUCAUAAUAAAUGAAGGGAAAGAAGGAAAAUGAAAGGAUAUCGCGUUACGCGCGGUAACAGCGCGCCUGAGAAAUUCAAGAUAAUCCAGAAUGAUCGCGCGCUUUGCGAGAAAAUCUCUAAUCCGUUCGUUUCUGCGUAUCCGCCGAGGAGAAGCGAUUUUAUAAAUUGCUGUCAACUUAGGCCACGGUCGGAUCGAUUGACGUAGUUACGCGCAAUUGUUUAACGUUGUCCGCUACGUUGUGCGUAAAGGAAAUAGGAUCUCUCUCUCUCUCUCUUUCUUGCUCGCGAAAUCGAUGAACAAAAUUGUACUUUUAAACGCGCUCCGACAAAUUUUCUACGACCGUCUAUCCACCUCUCCCGUAUCUACCUGCGCGGGAAAAUAAUCUUACGUUAAAUUAACGUAAGCGUUGCGAGACAAUGACAAGUGAUUAUCCCGGCACGAUUCGUUCCGAAGAACUUCAUUGCAAUUAUGAGUGGAGCAACGAGGGAAUCGAUUGUUGCAAGCAAUGAAAGUCAGUGCAUCAUCGAAGAAAAUCUCAACCAACUUCUAUAUCGAUCUACCUCAAUUUCAACCACCAUUAAAUUUCGACCUAAAUCGCGGAUAAGUGCUUUCGCAGAACUUUUUAAAUAGUAAAUAAAUUUUUAAGUUCCUCCGAUAUCAAGGACAAUUGGUAUGGUAAGAUUUUGGUUGUAGUUAUUUCGUAAAAAAGUAUUGAGUGACCGCGAUAAGAUAUUCUUUUUAUCAAUUUUUAGAUAUUUUCAGAUCAACUAUCAGAUCAAUUAAUCACCUUUUCUUGUUCGGAUAAGCCAGAGAUAGGACGAGUCAGGUAGUGAAAGCUUUUCUAAAAACGGUCUUCCGUAUUUUUAACAAAAAAGCAUAGUUCCUAUUUAAUGAAAAGCAUAGUCAUAUAAUAAUUAAAACGAUUAUACUAGUUCAAUUAUUCUAGUUUCUCUUUCUUCUUCUUUCAGCAAGGAAGUAUCUCAAAUCAAAUUCGAUUUCUUUCAUUAUGCUCGGAUAGAGCGAUCUUCAAGAUCUCUAUCCCUCGUUAUAUCACUUUUAUCGUUUUCACGCUCGUACGCGCGCGUUCUAUCGCAUCUUUCGGCUUUUCUUUUUUUCCCCUUCUUUUUUUCCAGGCUAAAUGAUCGAGGGAUGGAUUCGUCAUCGGUGGGAUAGAAGAUAAUCGGCGAGGUUUCGUUGUAUAGUGGGGAGACUAUUGCACUUGUAAUUCAUAUUUUGUCCAUAUCCUCGUCGUUGAAGUCGCAUAUGCUACAAGCGAAAGGUGGUGAACAGCCUCAAUGCAUUAGCGUGUCACCUUUUACUAACAGAUGCCGGCUUGUCCGUUAUGCAUUUUUUUCCUUUAGACAUUUCGCGUUAAGCAUACCUGUAUGUAUAUACUUACCUAUCAACCGAAAAGUUUUCAGCUAACAAAUUAUUUGUUCUCCGUACAGUUAUUGCGAGUGUAUAUUUUCCAAAGUGGAAACGAAAAGAAGGGUGCAUAAAUAUGUUAUUUCUUAUCUCUGCAAUUAUAUAAUAACGUAAGAGUCAAGAAAAUAUGUUUUUUAUUCUUCCACUAGUCAGUAAGUAUAUCUAUCUAUAU